GGGUAUGCACACCUACCCCACAUUUUUUUUUUCCAAUUUUCCUUCAAACUUACAACCACUAUAGGUGACGGCGUGUUUUCCCCUUCCACCUUCAUCUUCGAGCAUUCAUAUAACAUAGGCGACGGCGACGGGCUAGCAACAGAGAAUUCGAAGGCGAUGAGGGAUUUGUAAUCCGACGGCAAUCAGACUAUUGGACGGGGACUCGAACUGAGGAGUUUGGAGUGCGCGGAGCAUCGGCCGGUACCCGGAAGUGCAUAAAGUUGUAAGGCAUCGGCUAAGCAAGAUAUGCCUCUGCUCUAACCUCCUCUUUGCUUUUUGCAACAAAAUAAGCUUGAUUUGCAUUUUUUAGGUUAAAAAAUUUCCAAUUUAGAAGGAUUAGGGUUGAUAUGGUACGCAUCAUCGGUUGAAUGUUAAAUCUGUAGCGAAGAAUAUUGAGAGAUGUAAAGGGUUGUUGUCGAAUUUCUUUAGAACUCCGUUAUGAAGAUUCAAACAGGGUUUACGGUAAAACGUUAAAGGGGCCACAAAUCUAGAGUUCGGGGUUUACAUGGCGGCGUAGUGGUUGAGGGUGUGGGCAGUUCGUCGGCAGAGACUCCACCGUGUCCACCUCGUCGGGCCGACGGAGUCUCUAGUAUGUGGAAGUACAAAUUUUUGCAAGAAUCAUUAGUAUAAAUAAAUAGAGAGACGGUGUGUCGUUAAUAGGACAAACCAUUGGUUAUGUGAGUUGAGAAGAAACAUUGAAAUAGAUAUACUGUUAAUGAUCAUUUGACUAUAGGAACAAAUAUUAGCAGUUCGAACGACAAGCGAAUUAAACUGGGGGAGCGGGUGUGUGUGAAAUAUAUAUAUAUUUUUUGUUUAAGUGGAGUUACGAUCUCCAAAGAAUGGUGCUGUCGUCGUCGUUUCGCCGAGUAGUGUGUAAGAAAUGUUUCCGGGGGGAUUUUAUCUAUACAUAUGCAUUUAGAUCAAAAUAUACCUUGCUUUUUCGAUUUCACCUUCAUUGAGAAUAUAGUUACUGACUAUGAGUUGGCUCCUCAUAACGGCAAAUUUAAUGCAUUAAAGAAUAUUUUUACUAGGUUGUUUUCCUUGCGGGAAUGGGGGAUUUGUAAUUAUAGCAACGCCUUCUUUGCCUUCCAGAGACAGUGAGUUAGGGGUUAGCUAAAUCUUACUACCCGAAUUUGAUUUCGUAGCCUAGGUUGAAGUGACUUGUUUCUUAUUAGAGUUGGUUUAAAAUUGCGUUGCCAACGUUGUCCAAUCUAGGGGUUAACGGAAGCCCCAGCUAGUCUCCGACCAAGCAAUUUAUUGUGUCAAACGUCGUUGCGUGUACAAACUUGGUGACGAUAUGAAAGACAUAAUACUAUGCUCCGAAGUUGCGUUUGAAAAUUGUGGGGUUAUUGCUACGGGGUCCACUGUCUUCAUAAUGCUUUUGACUUGUGUAAAUAGAAGUCCCGCUUGGGUUCUUACCGAAUUAUUGAUAAUGGAUUUCCCUUGGUGCAUGGUAGGGGCAUCCCUACAUACAUCGAGGAGAGGGCCAAUCAUUACAACGAAAACUUGGACUGUAGGGCUAGUGUGGGGUGAUUACCGUCAAAAUUAAUGGCAACAAGGUACACCCUCUUUUUAGAGUUUUCGGUUUAGUUUUAGCAUGUAGGCAGUACAAUAAAACGGUCUCCUUUACUCUCCCCUAAAAAGGACUUCCUAAGUUACAUGCGUUAUUUUGUUAUAUCAUGUUCAUUUUCACGGAAUAUCGGUUAACCCAUACACUUCCGCUAUUGGCUUACAUAAGCACGCAAAGCUGGACAUUCCUGAAAUACUUAACACCAAAAGCUCCGUAUGGAGCAUUCGGAUGUUGUGUCGCUGUAAGAGAAAAUGUGAGGUAUCACUAAUACCAUCUCUCGAGGAUGGUUCCACCAUCAACAAUCCUAAAUAGUUAGUUUUACUAUUUUUUUUUUCCGUUUCUCAAUCAGUUGUUUGACUUCAAACAAAUGCCUCAAUGGCGUGCACCUCUACUGUUCCACAGAAACCUCAUGCGAAUUGGACUUAUGAGUUAGAGCCGUACUUCACGCACAUUUUGUGGUUGCACUGGUUAGCUGAUGAACUCCGCAGAGACACCUUUGCGCCGGUGGUUUGAGAUUAGAUAGUAACACAGUUCCACGAAGAAAAUGUGUGUUUACAACUUGGAACAACUUCAGGAAAAGUUCAAGAUGAUUAAGGCCUCGUACAGUUUAAUGUGUGACCUCGUCUUUUCAGAUACAUGCCUAGGUUGGAACUCAACAAUGGGCCUGAUCGAUGCCAGUGAAGCGCACAAGGCCGUGUGGUUAACGGUUGGCGUGCAAUCCAGUAAUGCAUUAUUUUCUUACCAACACCGAGCAUUGAACUCACUUAGCCCUUUCCGCAGGCAUACCCCGGGUACGGGCAUUUACUAACAUAUUUGUUCGCCCACUUCGACUACUGUCACAAUAUGUUUGCAAAUCAAUCUGCCACAGGCACUAGUACUCAGUCCAACAAUCCAUUUCCAUGAGGCAUGGAUACAUCUGAAGGAACUGCCACGCGAUCGGCCGGCCCCUCAACGGUAGGGGGAGGACAUGGAGGUGAGGAUGGGCCCGGUGAGAGCGGGGUCCAAGGAACCAAAAACGAAUGAUUCCCUACCAAUCUUUCAAUAUGGAGCGGGGGUCUGAUACCACAUCGGUGCGGAUCAAAUAUGUCUGCAAACUCCGAGUUGUUAGGUUUUCAACGGAGUUUAAGAGCUUCAAGAGAAGCUUACCGAUUUCCAUAAUGAGCGCAGAUAAUCAUUGUUUGAAGCACAUCACAUUCUACAAAAUUUCAUGGGCCUCCCCGAAGAUGCAUUCUCCGAGCAGCUAAUGCGAUCUGCAAUGUGGACCAUCGACUUCUAUUUCUUUCAUGGACCCUGGAGCUGCAAAUGUGGACCAUCGACUUAUUUUGAACCGAUAGUAUGUACGGUCUCACAUUCGUCCAAUUCUUAUAUGUUUGUUGUUUCCAUAGUGCAAUUCGUUCUAACUUUCACGCACGGUUCGGUGUAAUGUAGUUCUAAUGACUCCAUAUUGGUGAUGAAAAUUAUGUCUGAGCUAUGUUGAAUUGUUCUCUAAAUUAUGCAAUUUCAGACUACUAACGCAAUGACUAGUUCUUCGAACGGGGAAUUCCAGGGCAAUUACACAAUCCCAUCCAGCCGUCUGUCGAGUGCAGACAAGAACGAGGACAGUGGGAAAGAUGUUACUAAGGAAAUGAUGGCUCUAUGGAGAUUGAUGCACUCGAGAAACUAAGCCGAAUGGCAAUGAACGCACUCGUGAAUUGGAUUACGCUCCAGCGUUGUUACGAUUCGGCCCUAAGUGGUGAAAAAUUCAUGAACGAACUGUUGAACGGACACCCUUUCAGAAUUAAAAAUUUACUAAGGAUCUCGAAGAGUAUGUUUCUUGAACUAUGCGACACACUCUCGGCCAAGGGUCUCUUUAGGACUAGGGCUCAAAAGUGCGUAGGUGUACAUGAGGCGGUGGCUAUAUUUCUACAUAUUGUCGCACAUUCUAACCAGCAGCGCAGCAGUGUAGAAUGAUUUCAGAACUCGACACAUACUAUAUUCAGGCAUGUCAAGCGUGUUAGCUAGGCAUUGUGCAUUCUUGGCACAGAGAUAGUGUGUCCCAGAGAUCAACUUAUGACGCAUCUCUUUAUUGAAACGAACAGACACUUUAUGCCAUACUUCAAGGUACCGAGUUGUAUAUCCAAAUUCUCUUUUAAUGACCUCCUAUGAAAGUAUUUCUCAACCAUUACUUCUACUUUCUUAUUAACGAUUAGGAUUGUAGUGGUGCACUCGACGGAAUGCUUAUACAUGCUACCGUCCCCACCGUAGAUGCACCAUAUUUUCGGAGUCACAAAGGUAAUACUAAACAAUUAGUCCUCGGCGUGGUAGAUUUUGACAUGCACUUCAUCUAUGUUUAUGCCGGGUUUGAGGGAAGUAGACACGAUUCCCGUGUUCUUAAUCGUGCCAUUACCUUCGCCGGAGAUUCUCCUUCCCCCCUGCUGGUACGUGCCUUAAGUCAUCAUAUAUUUUUAUCGGAGUAACCCUUCCACUAUACGCUACUCUCAAUUCAUCAUGUAAUGCCAUAGGAAAAUACUACAUCGGGGAUUCAACCUACACAAACUCGGCCCUGAUGUUGACCCCAUUCUGGUCCAAUCGUUACCAUUAAGAGACCUUCCAUGAUAUACCCCCGAUCGGCCGAACGGACCAAAAGAACUCUUUAACUAUCAUCAUUCUCAACUUCGGAACGUAGUGGAAUACGCCUUUGGAGUGCUUAAGAGAAGGUUUGCAAUUCUGAGAGGGUCGAUGCCUCUGUACAAAUUCUUCCAACAUGUUAAUCUCGUACAAGCCUGCCCUACAGUCCACAACUACGUGAUUUCGAAUGGCUAAAAUAUGGAGACGCAGGACGAGGAGGGAAGCGACCCUGCACCUGACCACGAAUGCUCAUUGGUGCACGAUCAAGAGAUCACUGAAGCUUUGUCACGUUAGUGUUUAUCGUUCUUUUAUCUCCCCGGAUUUCGUGCACGUUGUUACUAUGCCACCUAUAGUGUCUGUAGGUGGAUCCGUAUUUGUUUUGUUCACAUCUUAGUUGGAUGGCCGACAUCUCAACUUUCGUCCCUAUUUUUGUACCGUUAUCAUUUCAGAAUUUAUGUAAUUAUAUCUCCUAUGGAUGUUACGCACAUCUUUACUUUGAUAAUCAUCUAUAUGAGCAUGUUAAUGCAGAUGAACUUAGAGGGCAAUAUUUCCCAAUGUGCAGUUAGUGGUUUUUCGAUGCCUGAGCGCAUAAGUUAAGCACCAAAAACCCGGGCUAAGCUUACUUCUUGUGCCUUAUUUUUUCCGUGGGGCCAAAGGUUAUUUUGGUAGUCUUCCAAAUGAGCAGCAUACAUGUCCACACAUUGGUCCGGGGAUGCACCAUCUGUUGAUACGCAUGAGCCGGAACCGCUUGUUUGCAACAAGGCAAACAGGGGCACACAAACCGAAAAUUGGGAUGUCGUCGUCCCUGAGGGAACUUAAGGAGUGGAGGACCGGAUGGGUUGUGCCGGUACUUACAAGCUUCUUCUUUCGCAGCUAUUGUGGUUGUUGUGUACACUUUGGUUAAUAUGUAGGAUUACAACAACAAAUACUCUUGCUUGUAAUUCCGAUUGCUUAAGAACACUUUUCCUCAGUUACCAUUCAUGGGGGCUACUCGAUAGUGUUGUAAGGAUGCGGGACAAACCUACCUUAAUUUUAUUUUUUGUUGUUCCUUAAAUCUGUAUCACAACUUUCUAUUCGGCGGAUCCCUACAUGUUUAGUGUUGGCCCGGUAAUAAGUCACGGGGGUCGCCACGGCCGUGCGCACAAUCUUGGAUGUGAAAGUGAAGGCAGGACAACUACUUAAAGCCAGGUGUGCAUGGCCAUGGCGAUGCCAUCUAGAUUUGAUAUGUCGUUGCUGGGGCAAAAUACACCCUUUCGUACAUGGUCGUGGCGACGACCACGUGAAUGGUUGCAUGCUUGCAGCAGUGAAUUACAUCCUCUUCUGCACGGCCGUGGCGACUUUGACUUGACGUUGUCUAGCCUUCCUGCAAGGAAUCUUGCACCAAACUGCAUGGGCGUGGCGAUACCCUUACAUUUUCCUUGUAUUCUGAACGCAGGAAUUUACACGGAGGUCUGCGUGACCGUGUAGACACAAUCAAUACUUGCUAUUUCAGGAUGGAACCUACUUAAAAUAUUUCCCACGUGGACGUACGGCUAAGUAAUUGCCCGAGAUUCAGCUACUUGACUCAUGUCACCGUCCCCCGAGCUUAUUCAUCGUUGUUAGAUUUGCAGGUGUGAGCUAUGUCUUCGGUGCCUUACAUGACAACAUAUUUUUUUGACUAUGUAGGUUCAUUGUUGACUGUUGAGGACGGCACCAACAAAGAAGAUGAGUCGUUUUUGCAUCUAAGAAGAAAACCAUGAAAAAGCCAACUGCGUCAUUCGGUGGAGUGGAGACUCUGCACCCCUUCUAUGUUGCGGACCAAUAUGCAAAGUUUGAGCACCUUAAGGGGGUCUCCUUUUUCGUGGGCCGCUGCAUUUCUCAGGAUACCGUAAGGGAACUCAACGUAACGGACGAGGUCGAGGGAUACUUGAAUGUGGGUGUAUGGCGCCGGUUUAUUUCCAAUUACUGGCGAUACACACUAGACGUUUACGUUGGAACUUUUGGCUACUCUAGAGUGGACAAGAAGCAUUACAUAAGGUCGACUUUUCCGCAAUGCUCCGCUUCCGACUCUCUUGCACGGAGUUCUCAACUGUCAUGGGUUUGUAUGAGUUUACGCGAGAGUGGCAGGCGACACAAUAGAAGUUCUAAUGAUCGGUGAGCAACCAACGUGAAUACCACCCGGGUCAGUCCAAGGCGUCGGGACUCCGAUCCCCGACAUUGCGCUACAUAUAGUACGUACUACCGCACGCUGACGGGCCGCAACUCCAGCAUAAGUGUGGUCACUUAAGAUGAUCUCAAAUAUAUUUGGAGUAUGGAGAUGAGGGUGCCUAUCAACGUUGGUUAUUGCCUUGCACGACUGUUCACAAGGCAAGCAUUGGAUGGCCGCAAUCGUACAAUCACCAUUGGACCUUAUGUCACCCGACUUGCACACUGUCUACACAUUUUGAUCUCAUUCGGAGAAAGUCUGGCCUCGACGAUAAAGCCUGCCGGAUUUGAAGUGCUUAUUCAAAUGGGCAUUGUCUGGAGGAGGGUGCGCGGGGAGACCUCUCUGGAAAUUGAGGCCUCGAUGGACGAUGCGGCAGAUGAGGGCACAUCUGCAACCGCUAUUGGAUGCAUCGCCGCUAUGGAGGAUCGGCUCAUUCAUGUGCAGGCGUGGAUUGAUGAGAGGCUCUGCAUCAUUGAGUCUAGAGUGGAGGCCCUUUGUGAGCACUAUGGCGUGCCAGCUCAUGCUACAUUUGUCUUCCGCUGACGGCCCCAUUCCCUUUGUUUUCUACUUUUGGCGGUACGGAUCACUCAUUUUUAUGUCACCACGUAUGUUGAGCAUAUGUCUAUACUUCAUUUAUGUAGUUACUUUGCAGUUUAUCAUACUAUCCAGUAAUCGCUCCUACUGCCGAAGGACCAUUCGAAAUCUAAAUGCAAAUCCCUGAUUUAACUCUAUUUGAAUUAACUUUUGACUUAAUGUGGAACAAUGUUUGCAACCCGAUUAGGAAAUCUAUUCGGCCAGAGUAUUACCACUUCAACAAAAUAUUGUUUAUUUUGGAAAACCCAACAAGUCUUUCAAAAAAUUGAAAUCAUUACCGCAAAUAAUGGCGAAAUGACUACACAUGCAACCCCCAAGCGCAUAUGACGGUAAUCGCCCUCCCCCUUACCUUUUCGACCUGCCUAUGUCAAGAGAAAGUCCUUACACUAUGAAAAGAAGUGUCACAAAAAAUCAAUCGCAUGGGAUAUGCGAAUAUUAUCUUCUUGCAAGGAUGCUCCAUUUUAUUUGGACAAGCAUUCAUUAUUGAUUCUAUUGUGAAGUACUAUUACAUCUUACUAGCUCAUUCGUCCUUCUAACCUUUCACCCUUCCAGUAAUUAAAAGCAAAUGCAUGCAUCCGUUUUGAGCGAGCGACACCCGGGGUGUCACGUACAAUACCGGCGCAAUGGACUUAUCAACUUGAACAAUACUUCAUACAUAUUGUGUGGUUGCAGUGGCUAGCAGAUGGAUUUGAUGAGCGCUGCCUCGGCCCGAAGCUUUGGGUUCAGAUACAUACGCAAUUUAUUGAGGAAACCGAUUGUGCAUUUGAGCUGAGGCAAAUGAAAGAGAAGCUCAAGCGAUUAGGAUAUCGUACUUUCUUUUACGUGAACUUAUUGUUCGAGAGACAAACUUUCGUUGGGAUGCGGGCAUGGGACUUAAUGAUGCAACCGCCGAGAAGAAAGCUGCAUGGUUAACGGCACACCCCGGACACAACCAUCUACUGACGCGGUCGUUCCCCACUAUAACCACUAUCAUGAUAUGUGAGGAUGUACGAGCGGAUCUGGUUGACGAAUCAUCGCGACUCACUCCCGGUGACGACGCUCAUUCCGUGCCUGUGUUCCUUGGGCAUUCGCAAACCAUGUGUCGUUUUGUUUCUUUUGUAGUAAUUCGUUCAAGUUCCGAGUUACAUACGGGUCUUCUUGUUUUCACAAGUUGUUGUCAUCUUUUAUUUUUAUGUACCAGGAUUUGUUCGUUACGAAAUAAUAUUGCAUUGUUUUCCUUCA